UCUCCUUUUUUUGAUUGGGAUUGGGUAUGUGAUCCCUGCCCCCAUAAUGUAUUGAGGUAGGGAGAAAGGACCCCUCUGUACCAAGUCUUUGGUACCUAUGGAUUUCAGUCCACCAGUUAUAUCCUCAAGUACCAGAACACAG
ensembl:snoRNA